rnacentral:rRNA from 1 species
UACGUAGGGUGCAAGCGUUAAUCGGAAUUACUGGGCGUAAAGCGUGCGCAGGCGGUUAUGUAAGACAGGUGUGAAAUCCCCGGGCUCAACCUGGGCACUGCAGUUGGAACUGGCAAGCUAGAGUAGGGUAGAGGGGUGUGGAAUUCCAGGUGUAGCGGUGAAAUGCGCAGAUAUUCGGAGGAACACCAGUGGCGAAGGCGGCUCACUGGUCCGGUACUGACGCUGAGGUGCGAAAGCGUGGGGAGCAAACAGG